rnacentral:lncRNA from 1 species
AGGAGGCGGGGCGCCUGUGGGAGCCGUGGAGGGAACUUUCCCAGUCCCCGAGGCGGAUCCGGUGUUGCAUCCUUGGAGCGAGCUGAGAGCUCGAGAGACGGGGAUUUAGCUAUGUUGCCCAAGCUGGUCUGGAACUCCGGAGCUCAAGCAGUCCGCCCGCCUUGGCCCCCCAAAGCGCUGGAAUUACAGGCGUAAUGCACUGUGCCUGGCCUUUAAAAAAAAAUUGAGGUUAUUUUGGGGACAGUAGAGCGUCCAGACACAUCCUAAUUUGCAUAGCUGCGCAGUUUUAAAAAAUGCAAUGCAUUUUUACCUGUUAGGAACCUGCUAAGGCCAUCAAACCUAUUGAUCGGAAGUCAGUCCAUCAGAUUUGCUCUGGGCCGGUGGUACCGAGUCUAAGCACUGCGGUGAAGGAGUUAGUAGAAAACAGUCUGGAUGCUGGUGCCACUAAUAUUGAUCUAAAGCUUAAGGACUAUGGAGUGGAUCUCAUUGAAGUUUCAGGCAAUGGAUGUGGGGUAGAAGAAGAAAACUUCGAAGGCUUAACUCUGAAACAUCACACAUCUAAGAUUCAAGAGUUUGCCGACCUACCUCAGGUUGAAACUUUUGGCUUUCGGGGGGAAGCUCUGAGCUCACUUUGUGCACUGAGUGAUGUCACCAUUUCUACCUGCCAUGUAUCGGCGAAGGUUGGGACUCGACUGGUGUUUGAUCACUAUGGGAAAAUCAUCCAGAAAACCCCCUACCCCCACCCCAGAGGGAUGACAGUCAGUGUGAAGCAGUUAUUUUCUACGCUACCUGUGCACCAUAAAGAAUUUCAAAGGAAUAUUAAGAAGAAACGUGCCUGCUUCCCCUUCGCCUUCUGCCGUGAUUGUCAGUUUCCUGAGGCCUCCCCAGCCAUGCUUCCUGUACAGCCUGCAGAACUGACUCCUAGAAGUACCCCACCCCACCCCUGCUCCUUGGAGGACAACGUGAUCACUGUAUUCAGCUCUGUCAAGAAUGGUCCAGGUUCUUCUAGAUGAUCUGCACAAAUGGCUCCUCUCCUCCUUCCUGAUGUCUGCCAUUAGCACUGGAAUAAAGUUCCUGCUGAAAAUCCA